rnacentral:rRNA from 1 species
GUGCCAGCAGCCGCGGUAAUACGGUAGGUGGGAAGCGUUAUCCCGGAAUUAUUGGGCCUAAAGCGCGCGCAGGUGGCUUUCUUAAGUCUGAUGUGAAAAGCCCACGGCUCAACCGUGGAGGGUCAUUGGAAACUGGGAGACUUGAUUGCAGAAGAGGAAAGUGGAAUUCCAUGUGUAGCGGUGAAAUGCGUAGAGAUAUGGAGGAACACCAGUGGCGAAGGCGACUUUCUGGUCUGUAACUGACACUGAGGCGCGAAAGCGUGGGGAGCAAACAGGAUUAGAUACCCUGGUAGUCC